UACGUAGGCAGCAAGCGUUGUUCGGAGUUACUGGGCGUAAAGGGUGCGUAGGCGGCUUCUUAAGUCUGGUGUGAAAUCUCCCGGCUCAACUGGGAGGGUGCGCCGGAUACUGAGGGGCUAGAGUGUGGGAGAGGAAAGUGGAAUUCCUGGUGUAGCGGUGAAAUGCGUAGAUAUCGAGAGGAACACCUGCGGCGAAGGCGGGUUGCUGGGCUGACACUGACGCUGAUGCGCGAAAGCUAGGGGAGCGAACGGG
rnacentral:rRNA from 1 species